rnacentral:lncRNA from 7 species
GCUGUAAGUCUGCCUGCUCAGAAUUUUUCUUUCUGCUAUUUGUUGCUUAGGGCAGCUAUACUUCUGACUUUUUACUAUGCUUUUGCCUGAACGUUGUGGGACUGUGGCUGGUGCUUGUGGCUGCUGUGGAGCUGCUGUGCUGGCCAGAGCACCUACCUGCAUCUGUUGGUGAGCUGAGCCUCUGCCCACACAGCCCUGUCACCAGAGACUUUCACCAGGCUUUCCAAAUCAAUCCUUCUCCAACUGAUCAUCACUAUGGGAGAACAAGACAUGCUCUAUGAAUGAUCUUACACUUCUGCAAAUGGCUAUUCCUGAAGUGACAUCUAAGAGAGGACAGAUAAAGAGAAUUAGAUAUGAUUCUUAAAGCAGAGUUCCAGUUUUUAUUCUUCAGACAAGUUUGUUCUCUCCCUGCACACAAACUUGUUUCUGCAGCAGGGAGGAGAGCAGUCAGGCAGCUCUUGAGUUGCUUCACCAUCUGUUUCUCAGCUCUUUGUUCAAAAUGCCUGAUCAGAAGCCUGUAAACCGUGUUGUCUUCUGGACACAGGGUGCAAGAGGAUGAGAAGAAACUGACAAACUGAUAGAAUACUACGCCUUACAGCUGCUCUACUGUAGUGUUUUGCAAUUUGAGAUGAAUUACAAUUCUUCACGUUUCCACACUCAAUUUGAAUUUGGUCUAUUCUCAUACAUCAGCACAGUCCUGCAGCAUCUUAUUCGUGCCUCCAGGUGUAAUGCACUUACUGAACUCAAUCAUGAAGUCAUUGUCAUUGCUGACCUCAACUGUGUAACAUAGCUUUUGGUACCUUAAAAGACCUUCCAAUUCUUGUGUGUCAUCUAAAGCAAAAUUUAAAGUAAACUUGUCCUUAUGC